rnacentral:rRNA from 1 species
UACGGAGGGUGCAAGCGUUAUCCGGAUUCACUGGGCUUAAAGGGUGCGUAGGCGGGUUGGUAAGUCAGUGGUGAAAUCUCCGAGCUUAACUUGGAAACUGCCAUUGAUACUAUUAGUCUUGAAUAUUGUGGAGGUCAGCGGAAUAUGUCAUGUAGCGGUGAAAUGCUUAGAGAUGACAUAGAACACCGAUUGCGAAGGCAGCUGGCUGCGCAUAUAUUGACGCUGAGGCACGAAAGCGUGGGGAGCAAACAGG